rnacentral:rRNA from 1 species
ACUACGGGUGGCUGCAGUGAGGAAUAUUGGUCAAUGGGCGAGAGCCUGAACCAGCCAAGUCGCGUGAAGGAUGACGGCUCUACGGGUUGUAAACUUCUUUUGUCAGGGAGCAAUUGGGUCCACGCGUGGGCUUAGCGAGAGUACCUGAAGAAAAAGCAUCGGCUAACCCCGUGCCAGCAGCCGCGGUAAUACGGAGGAUGCUAGCGUUAUCCGGAUUGAUUGGGUUUAAAGGGUGCGUAGGCGGAAUAUCAAGUCAGCGGUAAAAAUUCGGGGCUCAACCCCGUCGUGCCGUUGAAACUGAUGUUCUUGAGUGGGCGAGAAGUAUGCGGAAUGCGUGGUGUAGCGGUGAAAUGCAUAGAUAUCACGCAGAACUCCGAUUGCGAAGGCAGCAUACCGGCGCCCAACUGACGCUGAAGCACGAAAGCGUGGGUAUCGAACAGGAUUAGAUACCCCUGUAGUC